GACGAACGCUGGCGGCGUGCUUAACACAUGCAAGUCGAACGGAAAGGCCCUGCUUUUGUGGGGUGCUCGAGUGGCGAACGGGUGAGUAACACGUGAGUAACCUGCCCUUGACUUUGGGAUAACUUCAGGAAACUGGGGCUAAUACCGGAUAGGAGCUCCUGCUGCAUGGUGGGGGUUGGAAAGUUUCGGCGGUUGGGGAUGGACUCGCGGCUUAUCAGCUUGUUGGUGGGGUAGUGGCUUACCAAGGCUUUGACGGGUAGCCGGCCUGAGAGGGUGACCGGCCACAUUGGGACUGAGAUACGGCCCAGACACCUACGGGAGGCAGCAGUGGGGAAUAUUGCACAAUGGGCGGAAGCCUGAUGCAGCAACGCCGCGUGCGGGAUGACGGCCUUCGGGUUGUAAACCGCUUUCGCCUGUGACGAAGCGUGAGUGACGGUAAUGGGUAAAGAAGCACCGGCUAACUACGUG
rnacentral:rRNA from 1 species